AGGACAUGCAACUCACAAAGUUCAUCCUUGUCUCUCUCCAAAAGACAAGCUAAUCAAAGACAGAAAGAAAGAAACAGCCGAUUCACUAAGGAAGUAUGCAAAUCAGUGCUAGGUCAUGGAGGAUGCAGCAGACAACCAUGAUGUGGCACAUUUUUACUGGGAUUUUACAACAUUACAGUGUGAGUACCAUCAUUUGAUGAAUUACUUUUGCCAUGAC